rnacentral:tRNA from 1 species
GCGGUAAUAGCGUAAUGGUAGCGCGUACGGUUGUGGUCCGUGAGGCCUGGGUUCAAUUCCCGGUUACCGCC